CCCCGCCCUUUCUCUUCUAGGCUCGCGCGGCUCCCUUAAACUGGCGGACACGGAAGCCCCCUUUGGCUAGCGGCGCUGUCGGGCCCUCGCAGCGAUCCCGGCGCACUCCGGCAGCUCGUCGCUGAGCUCCCGGGAGGGAAGAGCCCAAAUUCCUCCAGGGGACCCGAGGACGGAGCGUCGGAGUUGGCUUUACGACGGUUAACAGCCACACCACCAGGGGGAGCACCUUGAAGAGAAAGCGUGUGCCCAAGGGUGCCCAUGGUCCGAGGAUGUGCCGUGUGGGGCUGCUUUCCAAGGCGCCAACCCCUGGGCCGCCAGGCUCUCUGCUGGGCACCUCCGCUGUCCUGUGGUCCCCGUGUGCAGGGCCUCGUUGGGGUUACCUGCUGCUUCCCAGCAUGCCGUCUCUUCUCUUGGGACUCAGCCACCCACAAGCGUCUCCCUGAGAGCGUUUAUGGCUCCUAACGCCUUCCGCACCGGACGCCCCGGAAUCAGUACUUGGGCUGCUGCCGGCUCCCUGGAUAGCUGCGCGUGUCCUGGACUGCUGGCCACAAGCAGGGCCCGAGAGGCCACCGGCAGACAAGUACCACCGCAGGGACUGACCAAGGCCACGGACCAUCGGAAACGCCCUGCUUGUGCUUCGGGCCCUUUCCGGGGAGCCCCCACACUCUGGCUCCUCCGCGGAAACCUAGCUCUGGGAAUACAGACUAGGAAGCCGCUGAUUUCCUGCUUCCUUCCGUGUCUACUUCCUACCAAGUGUCGGCUCCGAGCAGGAGAGCAGCAGGGGCUAGGACAUGGGGUGAGGCUGGCACGGGCCCGCACCCCAGACGCCCAGCCGACUACUGCCAGGGGAGCUGGCUGCCCUUGCAUCCUGGUGCCUCUGAACCCAGCAACCCCAAUGACCCCCCCCCAGGCUCCUCUAGACCCCCUUUUGUCCUCUAGAUGUAAGGGGGACAAAGAGAUGAAUCUUGGUCAGAUGAGGCCCCACCCCACCCCGCCAAGGGCCUGAGGGCACCCAUCUAAAGAGUAUAAAACCCCCAGAACCCAUGUCGCUGGGGGACGGCCUCUCCAUCCAGGCUGUCCUCCCAGGGACUGCCCCCCACCUUGCUGGCCCACCCUGCUAUCCUCCUGGCCACUCUAGACACUACUCUCUAAAUGAAUAAAUCUCUUUGUUUUUAA